rnacentral:rRNA from 1 species
UCGAGGGGCAGCGGGUAGAUGAGCUUGCUCAUUUAUGCCGGCGACCGGUGCACGGGUGAGUAACACGUAUGCAACCUGCCCGUCUCAGGGGGAUAAUCGUCGGAAACGGCGUCUAAUACCCCGUAUGAAGCUGGACGGCAUCGUCUGGUUUUGAAAGAAUAUCGGAGACGGAUGGGCAUGCGGCGCAUUAGCUGGUUGGCGGGGUAACGGCCCACCAAGGCGACGAUGCGUAGGGGUUCUGAGAGGAAGGUCCCCCACGCUGGUACUGAGACACGGACCAGACUCCUACGGGAGGCAGCAGUGAGGAAUAUUGGUCAAUGGGCGAGAGCCUGAACCAGCCAAGUCGCGUGAGGGAGUACUGCCCUAUGGGUUGUAAACCUCUUUUGUCGGGGAGCAAAAGCCGGACGUGUCCGGCUGUGAGAGUACCCGAAGAAAAAGCAUCGGCUAACUCCGUGCCAGCAGCCGCGGUAAUACGGAGGAUGCGAGCGUUAUCCGGAUUUAUUGGGUUUAAAGGGUGCGCAGGCGGAUUUUUAAGUCAGCGGUCAAAUCGUGGGGCUCAACCCCAUCCAGCCGUUGAAACUGGGGAUCUAGAGUGUGCGAGAGGUAUGCGGAAUGCGUGGUGUAGCGGUGAAAUGCAUAGAUAUCACGCAGAACCCCGAUUGCGAAGGCAGCAUACCGGUGCACAACUGACGCUCAGGCACGAAAGCGUGGGUAUCGAACAGGAUUAGAUACCCUGGUAGUCCACGCAGUAAACGAUGAAUGCUACCUGUUUGGCCUGAUUGA